GAUGAACGCUGGCGGCGUGCCUAAUACAUGCAAGUCGAGCGAACAGACGAGGCGCUUGCUCCUCUGACGUUAGCGGCGGACGGGUGAGUAACACGUGGAUAACCUCCCUAUAAGACUGGGAUAACUUCGGGAAACCGGAGCUAAUACCGGAUAAUAUAUUGAACCGCAUGGUUCAAUAGUGAAAGACGGUUUUGCUGUCACUUAUAGAUGGAUCCGCGCCGCAUUAGCUAGUUGGCAAGGUAACGGCUUACCAAGGGGACGAUGCGUAGACGACCUGAGAGGGUGACCGGCCAGACUGGAACGGAGACCCGGUCCAGACUCCUACGGGAGGCAGCAGUAGGGAAGCUGCCGCAAUGGGCGAAAGCCUGACGUAGCAGCGCCGCGUGAGUGAUGAAGGUCUUCGGAUCGUAAAACUCUGUUAGUAGGGAAGAACAAAUGUGUAAGUAACUAUGCACGUCUUGACGGUACCUAAUCAGAAAGCCACGGCUAACUACGUG
rnacentral:rRNA from 1 species